AGGCUAGAGAUUCUUUCAUUCACGGAACUCAUCACGUUUGGAAGGCAGCCAUGCUCAUCUCUCUACCACCAAAGCACGCUGAACUCAUCCCAUUUGGAUAGACCUCUUGGUGUUUGGUUUGAGAAAACAACCAUUGGCACAAAGUUGAUGAACUUCCACGCACGCACACAGGAGUUUGCUGUAAAAAAUGUUUGGAAAUGAUGGCCAUACUUCCUUUAACCAGCCUUUCAUUAAUAGACAUUUAAGUUUUUUGCUGUAGUGAUUUUAAAAUACAUCCAUACAUUCUUUGACAUUCUUUUUCUCCAAGAUGGAGCCUAAUUUCUGUCCCCUUGAGUGUGGGCUAGAUUUGGUGAUUCACUUCCAAAGAACAGAAUAUGGUAGAAAUGGCAGUGUGUGACUUCUGAGACAGUCGUAUAAGACAUUGUGGCUUUGCCCUGGAACUUGGAUCAUGGUCUACAUGUUCUAUGUAGGACAUCAGCCGCCAUGUUGUAAGGGCACUCAAGCAAUCCUCUGGAGAGGAAGCCAGUCUUUCACCAAAAGCCAGAACCACCAUGUCACCUUGGAUGUGGACCCUUCAGCUCUAGUGAAGCCUUCAGAUGACUGCAGCCCCAUGAAGGAACCAGAGACAAACUAUCCUGUUGCAGUUUUCCUAAAUUUCUGACCUGUAGAAACCAUGGAAGAUAGUAAAUGUUUACUGUGGUUUUAAGCAGCUACAUUUUCAGAAAUUUUGUUAUGUAUUUCUGUAAUAGAUAAGUAAUGUACUUCUUAUCUUUUAUUAUUAUAAAUAUUCCAGUAAAGAAA